UACGUAGGGUGCAAGCGUUGUCCGGAAUUAUUGGGCGUAAAGAGCUCGUAGGCGGUUUGUCGCGUCUGCUGUGAAAACUCGGGGCUUAACCCCGGGCCUGCAGUGGGUACGGGCAGACUAGAGUGCGGUAGGGGAGACUGGAAUUCCUGGUGUAGCGGUGAAAUGCGCAGAUAUCGGGAGGAACACCUAUGGCGAAGGCAGCUCGCUGGGACGUUACUGACGCUGAGACGCGAAAGCGUGGGGAGCAAGCAGG
rnacentral:rRNA from 1 species